rnacentral:lncRNA from 1 species
GAACCCAACAGCCCAUCCAAGAACCCAACAGCCCUUCCAAGAACCCAACAGCCCUUCCAAGAACCCAACAAUAGAUUUAAGAACCCAACAGCCCUUCCAAGAACCCAACAGCCCUUCCAAGAACUCAACAAUAGAUUUAAGAACCCAACAGCCCAUCCAAGAACCCACCACUGUGUCAAAGCCCCCAACCCAUCACGUCCCAGGCGAUGCCCCCACCUCCCUCUCACCUUUGGGGCUCAGAUCCAUUCCCUCCACGUAGAAGACGCCGUUGCGCAGCGCGAUCUCUUGCAGGAUGAUGCCAAAGCUGUACACAUCACCCUUCUGCGUGCCGCGGGCCGGCGGUAUCUCCAUGCGCAGCAGCUCCGGCGCCGUCCACAGCUUCUCUGCGGCACCAGGACGGGGUCAGCCGGGCAGGGACGUCGGGGACGGAGCGCGGGGCUCAGCGGGACGGGGCUCACUGGCAAAGAGCGCGUGGGAAUCGUCGCCGUCUGGAGCCACGCGGAAGCUCUCCAGCCCGUAGUCGGUGAUCUUCAGCACGAAGCGGCUGUCCACCACGCAGUUGGAGGACUUGAGGUUGCCGUGGGACAUGAUGACGCCGUUGUGCAGGAACUGCAUCCCCUGGCAGGGCGGGGUUGGGGGGGUUGGACACGGUCCCCCACCCCAUCCCAGUGGGAAUGGGGUUCUCUGUGGGGACCGGCUCGUUACCUUAACGAUGUCAAGAGUCAGGGAGUAGCGGAACAUCCAGUCCAGAGUGAUGCUCUCGUUCUCCAGGAUGUCCUGGGGAUGCAGGGAGGGCACAGCGCUGUCCCCCCAUCCCAGGCAGCAUCAGGGGCCACCAUGCACCCAAAGCAGGGUGGGCUGUGCGCAAUGGGUCCCCCCAGGGCGCAGGGACCCCCCGGCACCUGCAGGCUCCCACGCGGGCAGUACUCAGUCAGGAUGCAGAUGUUUGGGGGAUCGGUGCAGGCGCCGACGAAGCGCGUCAGGUGUUCGUUUUGGACAUCUCGCAUCUGUGGGGCAGCAAAGUGUGGGGUUCUGCCCCACUGCGGGGACCCCCAGCCCUCCCCAGCCCCACCUACGUGCUUCAGCUCAAACAGGACUUUGCGCGUCAGCUCGAUCCGCUUGCGGUUGAGGUGCUUGACGGCCACCAGGUUGCCCUGGGGACAGGUGGGGUGGUGGGUGCCAGCUGGGGUGGGGGUCCCCGGCCCCAAUCCCGUGUCCCCAUACCUUGUAAUACGCCGUCUUGGCGUAGACCUGGAACUGCCCCUCUGCCGUCAUCAGCGAGCCGUAGUUGGAGCCCCUCUGGGGGGGAAGGACGUGGGAUGA